UCUUCUCUGUGGAUAUAUUAAAAUGAGACAAAUUUCAAAAUUCUAUGGUAAAGAAGAAUUAAUAUUGACCGUAAUUUCAAAACAACUAUGUAAAAACUGAUAACAUUAAUACUUUAUUAUUAUGCACAUUCACAAGAAAUAGUCAAAUUAUGUUUGUUAAAUCCGGAAAAUGAACUAAGGAAUAAGGAUUGCUGACUUAGAAUUGAUCGAAGGAAUUUCCUAUAAAAAAACAGGAAAUAACUACCUAUAUUUAUGAAGAGCUUAUUAUACCAAUCAUUGAGAAUUCAAAGUAUGAAAAAGAUUUCGUUGAUACUUUUAAAAUGGUACUGAGAAAAUACCCCAGUACCUACCUUUGCAGUUUUGGUAACCUAACCAUGGAAUGUACGCAUGGGGCAGUGAUAGGAAAUCAGCGAAAACUCAAUAGGAGUGCUAUGAAUAUUUGUUCAAAGUAACAACUUUCAAGAAGGGGAGGAAUUGUAGGUUAGUAAACAUGUGUGUUUUGUUGGUUAGACGUUGGUUUGACAGGUAUCUGCCAUGCCCGGGUGGGGGAUGGCGGCACUUGUUCUCCGGAUACCGUGACUUGUCCGAAGAAAAAUUCCGCCCGUGGCCAAGGAAUCAAACUCGGGUCGGCCACUCCGUCCCCCAAUAAUAUGUUAUUUAUAUUAUUGCGUAUUUCGUUAUUUUUCAUAAAUUAGUAGUGGACCACGGUAACAACGUACUAUUUGUAUCAAUAUUUGUUAACACAAUACAAUCUAUUAAGAUGACAUAAGCAUUGUUGUAUUGUUUAUGAUUAUAACUUUUAUAAUUGCAUAUUUUAUUUUUA